CUCUGGCGCAGCAAAUGAACCAGGGCAAAGGAG
ncrna:Enterococcus massiliensis L31-Firmicutes ribosomal protein leader